GGCGACCGGCGCACGGGUGAGUAACACGUAUCCAACCUGCCGAUAACUCGGGGAUAGCCUUUCGAAAGAAAGAUUAAUAUCCGAUAGCAUGUCAACCCCGCAUGAGAUUGAUAUUAAAGAAUUUCGGUUAUCGAUGGGGAUGCGUUCCAUUAGUUUGUUGGCGGGGUAACGGCCCACCAAGACUACGAUGGAUAGGGGUUCUGAGAGGAAGGUCCCCCACAUUGGAACUGAGACACGGUCCAA
rnacentral:rRNA from 1 species